rnacentral:ncRNA from 2 species
CUCUUAUCAAGAGUGGUGGAGGGACUGGCCCGAUGAAACCCGGCAACCUACCAAUGAAUGACAGGUAAGGUGCCAAUUCCUGCAGCAAAAUGCUGGAAGAUGAGAG